rnacentral:lncRNA from 1 species
AUAGUUUCAUCAAUAUUACACAGUUUCAUCAUGGGUAGCAAGUUUCACAAAGUCAAAACAAAAACUAAAGACAAGCACUCCAUCAACCCAAGCUUCCGUGAUCUGAAGCAAAUCUACAAAAUGGGAAAGAAGAAAGUUAGAAGAAGAAGACUAGAAGAAGAAGAUUAUUAUGAUGCAACUAAAAUGUGAAGAUUAUUAUAAUGCAACUUAUAUCUGUAAAAUAGGUCAUUUUGGAGCUAAGUAUGGUUAUUAUGUUAUUUUUGAGCUAACUAAGCAUACUAAGUCAUUUUGGUGUAAAAAAUGCUAAGUUAUGUUGCACCAAAUUAAAGAUCAUUUGCAAUGUAAGCGCAUAUAUACUCUAAUUAUGUAUAUUGUUACCAUGCGCGGUACCGAUCGGAGAUCCUAGUGCUAAACUGGUAUUGAGCUCAAAUAGCUAUGCUCGUACACUGAACCCUAAACAUUACACUAUUUUUAUGGAUACUGAACCAGAGUGCUCUUUUCCCCAGAAACUUUAUUCAAAAUAAUCCAAAUUUAUGGUGAUUUCUGUGAGUACAGUUAUGUUUACAAUUAGUAAAAAGGUAGUGACAUGCCAAAUUGAGCCAAAAGCAAAAUGCGUUCGAUUUUUUUUGUCAAAAUUCCUCAAAAUGAUUGAAUUUCUGUGAAAUCCAGAAAACAAAACUUAAGAGCCCUGGGCUUAAAACAGGUUAUAUCGUGAAUGGCAUUAGUGUUUAAUCAUAUCUCUAACCUGAAUAUGGCUCUUAUUGCUUAAACUGAAGCUGCAGUUGUUCGACCAUUAGGCAAAGAGAUCAAUUACUUGUUGGCUCUCGCCUCUUAAUCCACCACAAAUUUCUGUCCUGUAGAAAGAACUUCCCUAUGCUGCAAAAUAAACAACAUGAGAUCAAUAUUUCAUACUGACAGUGAGAAACAACAAAUCAUUGGAUUGAUCAAACUUGUCCUGAAUCAAAAUAAACAACAAAUCAUUUUCGAUUCACUCACAAACUCCGCUAGGAACUAACCAUUAAACUUCCAAAUAUGUGGAGCAACUCAUCCUUUAUAUCGAUCUGAUAUUGAAGAAAG